UGAGUAACCUGCCCUUCACUCUGGGAUAACUCCGGGGAAACCGGGGCUAAUACUGGAUAUGACUCGAACAGGCAUCUGUUUCGGGUGGAAAGAUUUAUUGGUGGAGGAUGGACUCGCGGCCUAUCAGCUUGUUGAUGAGGUAACGGCUCACCAAGGCGACGACGGGUAGCCGGCUGAGGAGGGCGAUCGGCCACACGUGGGACUGAGACACCGGCCCAGACCUCCGUACGGGAGCA
rnacentral:rRNA from 1 species